rnacentral:sRNA from 1 species
UCUACCCAGACCCACCACUCUGAAUGUAGUGCACACUUAAGAAUUUAUAUGGAUCAGCGUUGAGGCUGAGACAUGUUCUUUUAUAACUUGUGACGUAGCGAGCGUUUGAGAUAUCUAUCUAAACGUGUCGUUGAGGCUAAGGCGGGGACUUCGAGUCCCUAAAUAAUUGAGUCGUAUGUUCGCGUUGGUGGCUUUGUACCCCACACAACACGUACAUGUAACUCCGAGGCAACUUGGGGUUAUAUGGUCAAGCGAAUAAGCGCACACGGUGGAUGCCUAGGCGGUCAGAGGCGAUGAAGGACGUGGUAGCCUGCGAAAAGUGUCGGGGAGCUGGCAACAAGCUUUGAUCCGGCAAUAUCCGAAUGGGGAAACCCACUGCUUCGGCAGUAUCCUGCAGUGAAUUCAUAGCUGCUGGAAGCGAACCCGGUGAACUGAAAUAUCUAAGUAACCGGAGGAAAAGAAAUCAACCGAGAUUCCCUAAGUAGUGACGAGCGAACGGGGAGCAGCCCUUAAGCUGGAAUGGCUUUAGAAAAACAAUCUGGAAAGAUUGGCCAUAGAAGGUGAUAGCCCUGUAUUUAAAAGGGCCACUCCAGUGAAGACGAGUAGGGCGGGGCACGUGAAACCCUGUCUGAAUAUGGGGGGACCAUCCUCCAAGGCUAAAUACUCCUGACCGACCGAUAGUGAACCAGUACC